AGAGUUUGAUCCUGGCUCAGAUUGAACGCUGGCGGCAGGCUUAACACAUGCAAGUCGAGCGAGAAAGCACUUCGGUGUGAGUAUAGCGGCGGACGGGUGAGUAACGCGUAGGAAUCUACCCAGUAGUGGGGGACAACAUGUGGAAACGCAUGCUAAUACCGCAUACGACCUAAGGGUGAAAGGGGGGGAGUGCUCCUGCUAUUGGAUGAGCCUGCGUAAGAUUAGCUAGUUGGUGGGGUAAAGGCCUACCAAGGCGACGAUCUUUAGCUGGUCUGAGAGGAUGAUCAGCCACACUGGAACUGAGACACGGUCCAGACUCCUACGGGAGGCAGCAGUGGGGAAUAUUGCACAAUGGAGGAAACUCUGAUGCAGCCAUGCCGCGUGUGUGAAGAAGGCUCUAGGGUUGUAAAGCACUUUCAAUGAGGAGGAACGGUUAGUAGUUAAUACCUGCUAGCUUUGACGUUACUCAUAGAAGAAGCACCGGCUAACUCCGUGCCAGCAGCCGCGGUAAUACGGAAGGUGCAAGCGUUAAUCGGAAUUACUGGGCGUAAAGCGCGCGUAGGCGGAUGAUUAAGUCGGAUGUGAAAGCCCAGGGCUCAACCUUGGAACUGCAUUCGAUACUGGUCAUCUAGAGUACAGUAGAGGAGGGUAGAAUUUCUUGUGUAGCAGUGAAAUGCGUAGAUAUAAGAAGGAAUACCAGUGGCGAAGGCGGCCACCUGGACUGAUACUGACGCUGAGGUGCGAAAGCGUGGGGAGCGAACAGGAUUGGAUAGCCUGGUAGUGCACGCCGGAAACUAUGUGUACUAGCCUUUGGAAGACUUUGUCUUUUAGUUGCGCAGCUAACGCACUAAGUAGACGGCCUGGGGAGUACGGUCGCAAGAUUAAAACUCAAAUGAAUUGACGGGGGCCCGCACAAGCGGUGGUGUAUGUGGUUUAAUUCGAAGCAACGCGAAGAACCUUACCAGGUCUUGACAUCCAGAGAACUUACGAGAGAUCGUUUGGUGCCUUCGGGAACUCUGUGACAGGUGCUGCAUGGCUGUCGUCAGCUCGUGUUGUGAAAUGUUGGGUUAAGUCCCGUAACGAGCGCAACCCUUGUCCUUAGUUGCUAGCAGGUAAUGCUGAGAACUCUAAGGAGACUGCCGGUGACAAACCGGAGGAAGGUGGGGACGACGUCAAGUCAUCAUGGCCCUUACGUCUUGGGCUACACACGUGCUACAAUGGCCGGUACAAAGGGUUGCCAAGCCGCGAGGUGGAGCUAAUCCCAUAAAACCGGUCGUAGUCCGGAUCGGAGUCUGCAACUCGACUCCGUGAAGUCGGAAUCGCUAGUAAUCGUAGAUCAGAAUGCUACGGUGAAUACGUUCCCGGGCCUUGUACACACCGCCCGUCACACCAUGGGAGUGGGAUGCAAAAGAAGUGGCUAGUCUAACCUUCGGGAGGACGGUCACCACUUUGUGUUUCAUGACUGGGGUGAAGUCGUAACAAGGUAGCC
rnacentral:rRNA from 1 species